GACGUAGGGGGCGAGCGUUGUCCGGAUUUAUUGGGCGUAAAGCGCGCGCAGGCGGCGGUGCUGGCCCGGCGUGAAAGCCCCCGGCUCAACCGGGGAGGGUCGUCGGGGACCGCACCGCUUGAGGGCGGUAGGGGCUGGUGGAAUGCCUGGUGUAGUGGUGAAAUGCGUAGAGAUCAGGCGGAACACCCGUGGCGAAGGCGGCCAGCUGGGCCGUCCCUGACGCUGAGGCGCGAAGGCGUGGGGAGCAAACAGG
rnacentral:rRNA from 1 species